UACGUAGGUGGCAAGCGUUGUCCGGAAUUAUUGGGCGUAAAGAGCGCGUAGGCGGCGGGACCAGUCAGGCGUGAAAGCCCCCGGCUCAACCGGGGAGGGCCAUUGGAAACUGGGAGGCUUGAGUAUAGGAGAGAAGAGUGGAAUUCCACGUGUAGCGGUGAAAUGCGUAGAGAUGUGGAGGAACACCAGUGGCGAAGGCGACUCUUUGGCCUAUAACUGACGCUGAGGCGCGAAAGCGUGGGGAGCAAACAGG
rnacentral:misc_RNA from 1 species